CCCUUAGAUGUCCGGGGCUGCACGCGCGCUACACUGAAGGAAUCAGCGUGCUAAAAUCAUUGUCGAAAGGCAUUGGUAAACCCAUUAAAAUCCUACGUGAUUGGGAUCGGGAAUUGCAAUUAUUUCCCUUGAACGAGGAAUUCCCAGUAAGUGUGGGUCAUAAGCUCGCGUUGAUUACGUCCCUGCCCUUUGUACACACCGCCCGUCGCUGCCCGGGACUGAGCCGUUUCGAGAAAAGCGGGGACUGCUGCUGUCGGGGCUUUCGGGCCUUGGCUUCGGUGGAAACCGCUUUAAUCGCAGUGGCUUGAACCGGGCAAAAGUCGUAACA
rnacentral:rRNA from 1 species